rnacentral:rRNA from 1 species
GAGCGAAGAGGGAUAAGCUCAAAUUUUAAAUCUGUUGGGUUCCACUUAACAGAGUUGUAUUUUGAAGAAACGUUUUCUGCAUCCAGGAUUAGCCUAAAUCCUUUGGGAUAAGGUAUCAUGGAGGGUGAGAAUCCCGUCCAUGGUUAAUCUUAAGGAAGCUCUACGAUACGUUUUCCAAGAGUCGAGUUGUUUGGGAUUGCAGCUCAAAAUGGGAGGUAAAUUUCUCCUAUGGCUAAAUAUUGGCGAGAGACCGAUAGCGAACAAGUACCGUGAGGGAAAGAUGAAAAGAACUUUGAAAAGAGAGUUAAACAGUACGUGAAAUUGUUGAAAGGGAAACGAUUGAAGUCAGUCAUACCAACGGGAAAUCAACCUUUUGAGCUUGGUCUCGUGGGUUUUGAAGAGUUUCAAAGCCUUCGGAUUCGCGGAAUUGGGAUCUCUCGGUGUACUUUCUCGUACGGUUAGUCAACAUCGGUUUUGAAUGUCAUAAAAUGACUGGAGGAAUGUAGCUUCGAUCUCGUAUUGAAGUGUUAUAGGCUUUGGUAGAUGUGAUGUUUGAGACCGAGGAUUGCAACGGAUACCUUUCAGGGCUAUUCGUCUGAUCUCUGAUACGUUGCCCUGAUGUUGAAAGCUUGCUUAUGAUGUUAGGGUAUUACGGUCAAAAGGUUAGAACGAAUUACAUUCGUUA